rnacentral:rRNA from 1 species
GACGAACGCUGGCGGCGUGCUUAACACAUGCAAGUCGAACGGAAAGGCCCUGCUUUUGUGGGGUGCUCGAGUGGCGAACGGGUGAGUAACACGUGAGUAACCUGCCCUUGACUUUGGGAUAACUUCAGGAAACUGGGGCUAAUACCGGAUAGGAGCUCCUGCUGCAUGGUGGGGGUUGGAAAGUUUCGGCGGUUGGGGAUGGACUCGCGGCUUAUCAGCUUGUUGGUGGGGUAGUGGCUUACAAAGGCUUUGACGGGUAGCCGGCCUGAGAGGGUGACCGGCCACAUUGGGACUGGGAUACGGCCCAGACUCCUACGGGAGGCAGCAGUGGGGAAUAUUGCACAAUGGGCGGAAGCCUGAUGCAGCAACGCCGCGUGCGGGAUGACGGCCUUCGGGUUGUAAACCGCUUUCGCCUGUGACGAAGCGUGAGUGACGGUAAUGGGUAAAGAAGCACCGGCUAACUACGUG